GCGGGCCUACACAUGCAGUCGACGGUAACAGGAAACAGCUUGCUGUUUCGCUGACGAGUGGCGGACGGGUGAGUAAUGUCUGGGAAACUGCCUGAUGGAGGGGGAUAACUACUGGAAACGGUAGCUAAUACCGCAUAACGUCGCAAGACCAAAGAGGGGGACCUUCGGGCCUCUUGCCAUCGGAUGUGCCCAGAU
rnacentral:rRNA from 1 species